ensembl:piRNA 21ur-15329 ncRNA
UAGGUACUGAACUUGUCCGAA